CCCCUUAAGUUGGAUGUGAAAUCCUAUGGCUCAACCAUAGAACUGCAUCCAAAACUGAGGGGCUAGAGUCUGGGAGGGGAAGAUGGAAUUAGUGGUGUAGGGUAAAAUCCGUAGAGAUCACUAGGAAUACCAAAAGCGAAGGCGAUCUUCUGGAACAGUACUGACGCUGAGGCGCGAAAGCGUGGGGAGCAAACAGGAUUAGAUACCCUGGUAGUCCACGCCCUAAACUAUGAAUGUUAGUCGUCGGGAGGCUCGUCCUCUCGGUGAUGCAGCUAACGCAUUAAACAUUCCGCCUGGGGAGUACGGUCGCAAGAUUAAAACUCAAAGGAAUAGACGGGGACCCGCACAAGUGGUGGAGCAUGUGGUUUAAUUCGAAGAUACGCGAAGAACCUUACCUGGCCUUGACAUUGAUAGAAUCUGCUAGAGAUAGCGGAGUGCCCUUCGGGGAGCUUGAAAACAGGUGCUGCACGGCUGUCGUCAGCUCGUGUCGUGAGAUGUUGGGUUAAGUCCCGCAACGAGCGCAACCCUCGUCACUAGUUACUAACGGUUCGGCCGAGGACUCUAGUGAGACUGCCUUCGUAAGGAGGAGGAAGGUGAGGACGACGUCAAGUCAUCAUGGCCCUUACGGCCAGGGCGACACACGUGCUACAAUGGGAUGUACAAUGAGACGCAAUACCGCGAGGUGGAGCAAAUCUAUAAAGCAUCUCUCAGUUCGGAUUGUAGUCUG
rnacentral:rRNA from 1 species